rnacentral:ncRNA from 1 species
AAAGACUUAGUCCUAACCUUACCAUUAGUUCUCGCUAAACAUAUACAUGCAAGUAUCCGCGCCCCAGUGUAAAUGCCCUAAAACAUCCCACUCGGAUAAAAGGAGCAGGUAUCAGGCACACACACCGUAGCCCAAAACACCUUGCUCAGCCACACCCCCACGGGUACUCAGCAGUAAUUAACAUUAAGCAAUAAGUGAAAACUUGACUUAGUUAUAGCGACCCCCACAGGGCCGGUAAAUCUUGUGCCAGCCACCGCGGUCAUACAAGAGGCCCAAACUAAUAGUAAUCGGCGUAAAGCGUGGUAAUAUGUUAUCUAACUAACUAAGACCAAAAUACAACUAAGCUGUCAUAAGCCCAAGAUGCCCCUAAAACCUCCAUAAAUAUGAUCUUAGCAUCCACGACCAAUUUCAACCCACGAAAGCUAAGGCACAAACUGGGAUUAGAUACCCCACUAUGCUUAGCCCUAAAUCCAGAUACUUACCCUACACAAGUAUCCGCCCGAGAACUACGAGCACAAACGCUUAAAACUCUAAGGACUUGGCGGUGCCCCAAACCCACCUAGAGGAGCCUGUUCUAUAAUCGAUAAUCCACGAUACACCCGACCAUCCCUCGCCCAUGCAGCCUACAUACCGCCGUCCCCAGCCCGCCUAAUGAAAGAACAAUAGCGGGCACAACAGCCGCCCCCNCGCUAACAAGACAGGUCAAGGUAUAGCAUAUGAGAUGGAAGAAAUGGGCUACAUUUUCUAACAUAGAACACCCACGAAAGAGAAGGUGAAACCCUCCUCAGAAGGCGGAUUUAGCAGUAAAAUAGAACAAGAAUGCCUAUUUUAAGCCUGGCCCUGGGGCACGUACAUACCGCCCGUCACCCUCCUCACAAGCCACACUCCCAAUAAAUAAUAACCUUCUCCUAGCUGAAGAUGAGGUAAGUCGUAACAAGGUAAGUGUACCGGAAGGUGCACUUAGCAUAUU